UGGGGAAUAUUGGACAAUGGGCGCAAGCCUGAUCCAGCAAUGCCGCGUGUGUGAAGAAGGCCUUCGGGUUGUAAAGCACUUUUAUCAGGAGCGAAACGCUGUCGGCUAAUACCCGGCGGAACUGACGGUACCUGAGGAAUAAGCACCGGCUAACUUCGUGCCAGCAGCCGCGGUAAUACGAAGGGUGCAAGCGUUAAUCGGAAUUACUGGGCGUAAAGCGUGCGUAGGCGGUUUCUUAAGUCUGCUGUGAAAUCCCCGGGCUCAACCUGGGAAUGGCAGUGGAUACUGGGAGGCUAGAGUGUGUCAGAGGGUGGUGGAAUUCCCGGUGUAGCGGUGAAAUGCGUAGAGAUCGGGAGGAACAUCAGUGGCGAAGGCGGCCACCUGGGACAACACUGACGCUGAGGCACGAAAGCGUGGGGAGCAAACAGGAUUAGGAUACCCUGGUAGUCCACGCCCUAAAGCGAUGCGAACUGGAUGUUGGUCUCAACUCGGAGAUCAGUGUCGAAGCUAACGCGUUAAGUUCGCCGCCUGGGGAGU
rnacentral:rRNA from 1 species